UGGGGAAUAUUGCACAAUGGGCGAAAGCCUGAUGCAGCAACGCCGCGUGAGUGAUGAAGGCCUUCGGGUUGUAAAGCUCUGUCUUUUGGGACGAUAAUGACGGUACCAAAGGAGGAAGCCACGGCUAACUACGUGCCGGCAGCCGCGGUAAUACGUAGGUGGCAAGCGUUGUCCGGAUUUACUGGGCGUAAAGGAUGCGUAGGCGGAUUUUUAAGUGAGAUGUGAAAUACCCGGGCUUAACUUGGGUGCUGCAUUUCAAACUGGGAAUCUAGAGUGCGGGAGAGGAGAAUGGAAUUCCUAGUGUAGCGGUGAAAUGCGUAGAGAUUAGGAAGAACACCAGUGGCGAAGGCGAUUCUCUGGACCGUAACUGACGCUGAGGCAUGAAAGCGUGGGUAGCAAACAGGAUUAGAUACCCUGGUAGUCCACGCCGUAAACGAUGAGUACUAGGUGUAGGAGGUAUCGACCCCUUCUGUGCCGCAGUUAACACAAUAAGUACUCCGCCUGGGAAGUACGAUCGCAAGAUUAAAACUUAAAUGAAUUGACGGGGUCAUAGCUGUUUUCCU
rnacentral:rRNA from 1 species